rnacentral:rRNA from 1 species
CCCUUAGAUGUCCUGGGCUGCACGCGCGCUACACUGAUGUGUCCAGUAAGCACCUAACCUCUUCCGAAAGGAACGGGUAACCUUUGCAAAGCACAUCGUGAUGGGGAUAGAUUAUUGCAAUUAUUAGUCUUGAACGAGGAAUUCCUAGUAAGCACAAGUCAUCAGCUUGUGUUGAUUACGUCCCUACCCUUUGUACACACCGCCCGUCGCUCCUACCGAUUGAAUGUUCCGGUGAGCUCUUCGGACUGCGCGGUCUGCAGUUUCUGCGUUCCGUGCGGAAAGUUGCGCAAACCUUAACAUUUAGAGGAAGGAGAAGUCGUAACA